rnacentral:snoRNA from 1 species
AUCCUUUUGUAGUUCAUAAGCAUGAUGAUUGGGUUUUCACGCUCAUGUGUGAGAUGUGCCUCCCUCAAACCUUGUUACGACAUUGGCAUAUCACUCUUCUGACG